AACCUUAAAGCAAAAUUUUGGGGCAAAUCAAAAAUAAAUAAAAGGAAAUGGACCAAUUUGAACGUGCGAAUAAGAAGGAGGGACCAAAAGGGAAAUAAUCUCCACCCUCCAAAAUGCACAGCUUCAAGGAAGACCAAAAUGCAGUCAAAACAAAUUUUAGGGCAAAAAUUAAGAAUAAUGAAAACUUAAUUGCAAAACAAUAAAAAAACGGAAGGGCUAAAAGCAAUUGGACGAAUUUAGAAAAAAACAAAGAAAUUGAAAUGAAAUAGACAAAAUUCUCAUGUAAUUAAAAGAGAAAGAAAAUAAUUCAAUUCCAAUAAAAAUAGGAAAA
rnacentral:lncRNA from 1 species